rnacentral:lncRNA from 1 species
UCCAAAACACAUUAUUUUGACAAAUUUAUUUCCAGGAAAAUCAUGCGUACCUCCUUUACAUGUCCGAAACACAUUGUUUUUAUAAAUCUGAUACUCCCUCCGUCCCACCAGGAUGUUUACGUUCACUGUUUGCACGCAUUUUGAGGCUCUUAUAAAGUAUAGUUCAAUAACUUUUUUUUAAUUUAUUUUUUUUCUGUAUAAAAGUUUAAACGUCUAACUUUUUUUCAGGAUUUUUUUUAAAAUAAAAAAUAUUAUGGAACUAUACUUUAUAGGAGCCUAAAAAUGCGUGUCGAAAAGUAGCGUAAAGAACCUGGUGGGACGGAGGGAGUACAUGUUUAUUUCCAUGGAUAUAGGUAAAAAGUUAAUAUUUUCAAUGCCAUGAAACAGCAACCUUAUCCUUUAGUCCAUAGAAACAAGUAAAAGCAUUGACAAAUUCUGCUGGACCAUAGCUACAACAUCAAACAUAAUUUGACCAUUGUUAAAAGUUCACAUUUAUUUGUGCUAUUCCCAAAAUCAACCCCACCACAAGCCUGACUUAACCAUGUAUAACAGGGUUCAGAAAUAGUUCGUCUUGUAAAAAUUCUUCAAGAAAUCAGAGGCACCUUCAUCCUUGGUGCCUGAAUCCUGCGACAGCCCAUGGUGACCUACCACAUAUUGACCAAUGAUGUGGUGCCGCUGCUUCGCAUGCUCCACAACAUCGCCCAAUUCUUCCAUGCCCUUAAAAAGCAGCAUGUCUAUCACCUGUAAACAAAACAUCAAUUUGCCAGAAAUGUUAAUUUUGUUAAUGAUGAGCAUGUGUCAAUUUUUAGAGAAUUGAGGUCCAAAACCGUAUUACGGAUGUUGAAGUUCAGUACCCUGUUUCCUCUGUAUAUUUAUACAACCGUAUACAUUUUAUGAAAUAGCUCAUUCAUAGUAAUAUGCAUUUUAUGCAAUAGCUCAUCCGUAGUAAUAUGGGGAACAUGACACUUCUACAUAGCUUGAUGGCCUAAUGCCUACAUUGCUACUAUUUCAAAUAAUCUCUGGAUUUGGAUCUACUACUACUACCACAACAUUGUUGACUUAAUUCAGACACCAUACAACACAUUACACAAAGGUGAACAGUAAACUAAGUUUGCAUAAUAGAGCUAUUCUAUAAUCAGACAGAUCAAGUACCUGAGUAAGACAUAGAUAAGUAGCAGGUGAUCAGUGUGAGGAAAAAAAAAAAAAAAAAAAAAACUCCUACUCCAGAUAUGCCCAACACGGAACAUAUAACCUGAAAAGGUUCUAAGCAUAAGACCAAUAUCAUUAUAUCAUAUAAUCAUCUGAGUAAUGUUUUUAAUGGCUACAUCAUAGAAUUUGCAGUUUGAGUAAUCAGGACUUGGGAGGUUUACACAUCACAAAUUCGAAAGGAGUUUUCCAAAUUCUAGUUCCAUUAGCUAAAACAAGCAGCAGACCAACUCGCAUGACUUCAAGUUCUAGAAAAACAGGAGUUUUCCAAAUUCUAGUUCCAUUAAUUGGCUAAAACAUGUGGACCAGCUCGCAUGACUUCAAGUUCUACAAAUACUUGAACUCAAUACAGAUGACAAAACUCACUCAAUUACCAAACAAAUCUAUAAAUGCCAAUCCUUUGACUCCUUCGAAAUUCAAUUCCUGCUCAGGUAUCCUCUGUAGUAAAGAAGAGGUCAUUGACAAAUUCCAGGAAUAUCAUGUGUACCUCCUUUAUGUGUCCAAAACACAUUAUUUUGACAAAUUUAUUUCCAGGAAAAUCAUGCGUACCUCCUUUACAUGUCCGAAACACAUUGUUUUUAUAAAUCUGAUACUCCCUCCGUCCCACCAGGAUGUUUACGUUCACUGUUUGCACGCAUUUUGAGGCUCUUAUAAAGUAUAGUUCAAUAACUUUUUUUUAAUUUAUUUUUUUUCUGUAUAAAAGUUUAAACGUCUAACUUUUUUUCAGGAUUUUUUUUAAAAUAAAAAAUAUUAUGGAACUAUACUUUAUAGGAGCCUAAAAAUGCGUGUCGAAAAGUAGCGUAAAGAACCUGGUGGGACGGAGGGAGUACAUGUUUAUUUCCAUGGAUAUAGGUAAAAAGUUAAUAUUUUCAAUGCCAUGAAACAGCAACCUUAUCCUUUAGUCCAUAGAAACAAGUAAAAGCAUUGACAAAUUCUGCUGGACCAUAGCUACAACAUCAAACAUA